rnacentral:tmRNA from 3 species
GUGCUAUCUUAAAAGGGUUCACAUGUCGUGAACUAGGUGGCUCACACCAGUGUUUCGGACAGCGGUUCGAUUCCGCUCAGCUCCACCUUUCACGGGGCUGCAAUGGUUUCGACGGGGCAUGAGGAGGGUGACUGAAGCCUGCUCGGUCAGAGCAACUUCGUAACAGCGAACAACAUCGUUCGUUUCUCCCGCCAGGCCGCCCCUGUUGCCGCCUGAGCCCAAAGGAGAUGGGGUGAGGUCAGCCUUAUCACCAAAAUGACCCAUGGGGGCUGGGAGGCCCC